GGUAUCUAGCUAUAAGUUAAACCUGAUCGAUCAAAUGGAUAGGUGUAAGCAAUUAUGGUAAUUCCAAAUGCCCUUAACUAGAUUUCUUUGCUAGACAGACACAGAGAGAGAGGGGGGAAGAAAGUGAGAAAGAAAGGAUGAAAGUGAGAGAGGGAGAGAGAGGUGGGAAGAGGGUGGAUGACAGACAGCGAGAGAGAGAGAUGGAGACAGAGAAACAGGGAAAGCAAGACGCUUCUUCUGACAGCUGGGCAAGGUGGACAGCUGGGCAAGUGAAAUAACCUUUUGUUUAUCAAUCACAUUCUGUUAUAUCUGAAAUUAUUAUGAUUUCAAUGAAUGUCAUAUCAGAGAGCACACAAUGUUUCAAUUUGUAAUUGUUUGGUUAAAGGUCAGUACCCUGUCUAGCCUGCCAGAAGUUUGAGAGGGUGAAGAUUGUGGCGCCAGAGUUGAAGCUCAUCAAAGUUGUUUUUGGGACGAGACUGGCGAGGCCACCUCCAAGACGAUGAUAUUCAACUCCCACGGUUCUCCUGAGGUCAUCUUGAGUGACCGAGGUCAUGAACAAGGUUUGGUGAAUGGACCAACCAGACCCUCAAGACCGCUAUGGACAAGUCCCUUGUCGGAUACCAGAAACGGUGAGAGAACAACCUGAAGGUAAUUCUCUUUACAGCAGCGUCCAGGCUUUCACCGAGUACCGACAGGAGCCACAGCUGUUGACUGAGAUUUCUGAUGGAAGUCGUUGAACCAGAUCAGAACGCUUCGAGGACCACCUUCUGUCCCAGAUUGAGAAGGAAGUGGAGGUUUUUGACCAGGUGAGACUGAACAUCGACAAGGCGCAGGAGAAACUGAAUGAGAGCUACCGGAGCAGAAUCAAGAAGGGGACCAAGUGCUACGACAUCCGGGUGAAUUACUUGGUUUGGAAGAAGGACAAAAGGAAGGCCAGAGCUGGGAAACCUCGCUGCUCUUACGCUGCUAGCUGGGGUCACCAUCUGGGUUACCUUGGUGGAAGCCAACAAUAUUCUCCAGUUGGAGCAGUUGGACGGUCGACCACUGAAAGCCCUGACGUCCUACACUUCGGUGAAGCCCAAAAGACAAAGCCCAGCACUGCAAACACUCAGAACAAAGGGAGCAGCAGUGCCUGGACUUUGCAGUCUCCCUCUUCAAGUCCCCUUUCUGAGAGUGUUGAGCUGUUGAGAACAAGUGACAGGCAGAACCUCCCACCCACACAUCAACCACCUCCUCGAUAUUCCACACACCAGAAUUCAGUACUUGAGUCUAUGAUUGCCAUGUGAGUGUACAAAAAAUCUGUGAUAAAUUAAUGACUUAACUGUACCAAAAAAAAUCUACGUUUAUAUAUUAAUAUCUUAAAUAUUGCCCUGUUGGUUUUCACAGCUGUUUCACAAGCUAUUCUUUAUUGUAAGUUGUAAGCUAUCCUUUGAUGGUAUUUAUUUGUUCCAUAUUAUUCGUUGUUGUAACCUAGGAUCUAAAACAGAUACAUAUAUG